UAGGGAAUAUUGGUCAAUGGGCGAGAGCCUGAACCAGCCACGCCGCGUGCAGGAAGACGGCCUUCUGGGUUGUAAACUGCUUUUCUACAGGAAGAAAAUACCCUUGCGAGGGGAAUUGACGGUAUUGUAGGAAUAAGCACCGGCUAACUCCGUGCCAGCAGCCGCGGUAAUACGGAGGGUGCAAGCGUUGUCCGGAUUUAUUGGGUUUAAAGGGUGCGUAGGCGGGGUCUUAAGUCAGUGGUGAAAGCCGGCAGCUCAACUGUCGAAUUGCCAUUGAUACUGGGGUCCUUGAAUUCAGUUGAGGUAUGCGGAAUUGAUGGUGUAGCGGUGAAAUGCAUAGAUACCAUCAGGAACACCGAUUGCGAAGGCAGCAUACUGGGCUUGAAUUGACGCUGAGGCACGAAAGUGUGGGGAUCGAACAGG
rnacentral:rRNA from 1 species